AUUCCUGAUGUUUAGUCGGAAUCUCCUUUCUUGUAACUUGCACCCUUUGGCUUGAGUCCUACGCUCGGGAGCAGGAGAAAACAAUCUUGCUGCAUCUUCCAUGGGACAGCCCUUCAGAUAUUUGAAGGUGGCUAUCCUAUCUCCUCUCCGUCUCCCUUUUUCUAGGCUAAGUAUACCCAGCUGUUUUGA